GGAGGGAAGCUCAUCAGUGGGGCCACGAGCUGAGUGCGUCACGUCACUCCACCCCAAUGUCCCUUGGGAAGGUCUGAGACAAGGGCCUGAGGCAGCCCUAACAGGGCUCUCCCUGAAUGUCGGGGAGAAAAAAACCGGCUGCUGUGUGCCGCCGUUCAGAAUGAAUGAUGUGUGAAAGCCGUAACGUGAAACAUGGAGAACCUGGGGCAAGAAACCUACGAGGAUGCACACUUCAUCAUUAAGGCUACCUGAUGCCAACCCAGGUGAACUGGGGACCAAAGUGAGGUCCAAACUGUAACUGUACAAUGACUAUUUGUAACCUAAUCCUGAACUGU
rnacentral:RNase_P_RNA from 1 species